rnacentral:rRNA from 1 species
UUCCGGUUGAUCCUGCCGGACCCUACUGCUAUCGGGGGAGGACUAAAACAUGCAAGUCGUGCGCCUCCAAGCCAUGGUGGAGACGCGGCAUCCGGCUCAGUAACACGUGGCUAACCCACCCUUGAGACGGAGAAAACCCCGGGAAACUGGGGUUAAUCUCCGAUAAGAGAAGACCCCUGGAAUGGGUCUUCUCUCAAAGGGCACCUAGACCAUGCUUCUAGGCGUUGCUCAAGGACGGGGCCGCGGCCGAUCAGGUUGUUGGUGAGGCAACGGCUCACCAAGCCUAUAACCGGUACGGGCCGUGAGAGCGGGAGCCCGGAGAUGGGCACUGAGACAAGGGCCCAGGCCCUACGGGGCGCAGCAGUUGCGAAAACUCCGCAAUGCGCGAAAGCGUGACGGGGCUACCCCGAGUGCCGUCCGCUGAGGAUGGCUUUUCCGCGGUGUAAGGAGCCGUGGGAAUAAGGAGAGGGCAAGACUGGUGUCAGCCGCCGCGGUAAUACCAGCUCUCCGAGUGGUGGGGAUGAUUAUUGGGCUUAAAGCGUUCGUAGCCGGCCUGGCAAGUCUUCCGUUAAAUCCAGCGGCCUAAUCGUUGGACUGCGGGAGAUACUGUUAGGCUAGGGGGCGGGAGAAGCCGACGGUACUCUCGGGGUAGGGGUGAAAUCCUGUAAUCCCGGGAGGACCACCAGCGGCGAAGGCGGUCGGCUAGAACGCGCUCGACGGUGAGGGACGAAAGCUGGGGGAGCGAACCGGAUUAGAUACCCGGGUAGUCCCAGCUGUAAACGAUGCGGGCUAGUGUUGGGGCGGCUACGGGCCGCUUCAGUGCCGCAGGGAAACCGUUAAGCCCGCCGCCUGGGGAGUACGGGCCGCAAGGCUGAAACUUAAAGGAAUUGGCGGGGGG